GACGAACGCUGGCGGCGUGCUUAACACAUGCAAGUCGAACGGAAAGGCCCUGCUUUUGUGGGGUGCUCGAGUGGCGAACGGGUGAGUAACACGUGAGUAACCUGCCCUUGACUUUGGGAUAACUUCAGGAAACUGGGGCUAAUACCGGGUAGGAGCUCCUGCUGCAUGGGGGGGGUUGGAAAGUUUCGGCGGUUGGGGAUGGACUCGCUGCUUAUCCGCUUGUUGGUGGGGUAGUGGCUUACCAAGGCUUUGACGGGUAGCCUGCCUGGGAGGGUGACCGGCCACCUGGGGACUGAGAGACGGCCCAGACUGCUACGGGAGGCAGCAGUGGGGAAUAUUGCACAACGAGCGGAAGCCUGAUGCAGCAACGCCGCGUGCGGGAUGACGGCCUUCGGGUUGUAAACCGCUUUCGACUGUGAUGAAGCGUGAGUGACGGUAACGGGUAAAGAAGCACCGGCUAACUACGUG
rnacentral:rRNA from 1 species